UACGUAGGCAGCGAGCGUUGUUCGGAGUUACUGGGCGUAAAGAGUGCGUAGGCGGUUUUCUAAGUUUGGUGUGAAAUCCCCGGGCUCAACCUGGGAAUUGCAUUGGAGACUGCAAGGCUAGAGUGUGUCAGAGGGGGGUAGAAUUCCACGUGUAGCAGUGAAAUGCGUAGAUAUGUGGAGGAACACCGAUGGCGAAGGCAGCCCCCUGGGAUAACACUGACGCUGAGGAGCGAAAGCGUGGGGAGCGAACAGG
rnacentral:rRNA from 1 species